GACGAACGCUGGCGGCGUGCUUAACACAUGCAAGUCGAACGGAAAGGCCCUGCUUUUGUGGGGUGCUUGAGUGGCGAACGGGUGAGUAACACGUGAGUAACCUGCCCUUGACUUUGGGAUAACUUCAGGAAACUGGGGCUAAUACCGGAUAGGAGCUCCUGCUGCAUGGUGGGGGUUGGAAAGUUUCGGCGGUUGGGGAUGGACGCGCGGCUUAUCAGCUUGUUGGUGGGGUAGUGGCUUACCAAGGCUUUGACGGGUAGCCGGCCUGAGAGGGUGACCGGCCACAUUGGGACUGAGAUACGGAGCAGACUCCUACGGGCGGCAGCAGUGGGGAAUAUCGCACAAUGGGCGGAAGCCUGAUGCAGCAACGCCGCGGGCGAGAUGACGGCCUGCGGGUUGUAAACAGCUGUCGACUGUGACGAAGCGUGAGUGACGGUAAUGGGUAAAGAAGCACCGGAUAACUAC
rnacentral:rRNA from 1 species